GUAGGGAAUAUUGGGCAAUGGUCGGAAGACUGACCCAGCCAUGCCGCGUGCAGGAAGACGGCCCUCUGGGUUGUAAACUGCUUUUAUCUGGGAAGAAAAAGGCCAUGCGUGGCAAAUUGCCGGUACCAGAUGAAUAAGCACCGGCUAACUCCGUGCCAGCAGCCGCGGUAAUACGGAGGGUGCGAGCGUUGUCCGGAUUUAUUGGGUUUAAAGGGUGCGUAGGCGGCUGAUUAAGUCAGCGGUGAAAGACUUCGGCUUAACCGGAGCAGUGCCGUUGAUACUGGUUGGCUUGAGUGUCGGAGGGGUACAUGGAAUUGAUGGUGUAGCGGUGAAAUGCAUAGAUACCAUCAGGAACACCGAUAGCGAAGGCAUUGUACGGGCCGACAACUGACGCUGAUGCACGAAAGUGUGGGGAUCGAACAGGAUUAGAAACCCGAGUAGUCC
rnacentral:rRNA from 1 species